GUGGGGAAUAUUGGACAAUGGGCGAAAGCCUGAUCCAGCCAUGCCGCGUGUGUGAAGAAGGUCUUCGGAUUGUAAAGCACUUUAAGUUGGGAGGAAGGGCAGUAAGUUAAUACCUUGCUGUUUUGACGUUACCAACAGAAUAAGCACCGGCUAACUUCGUGCCAGCAGCCGCGGUAAUACGCAGGGUGCAAGCGUUAAUCGGAAUUACUGGGCGUAAAGCGCGCGUAGGUGGUUUUGUAAGUUGGAGGUGAAAUCCCCGGGCUCAACCUGGGAACUGCCUCCAAAACUGCAUGACUAGAGUACGGUAGAGGGUAGUGGAAUUUCCUGUGUAGCGGUGAAAUGCGUAGAUAUAGGAAGGAACACCAGUGGCGAAGGCGACUACCUGGACUGAUACUGACACUGAGGUGCGAAAGCGUGGGGAGCAAACAGGAUUAGAAACCCCGGUAGUCC
rnacentral:rRNA from 1 species